AUACGGAGGGUGCAAGCGUUACUCGGAAUCACUGGGCGUAAAGCGCGCGCAGGCGGUCUUUUAAGUUGGAUGUGAAAGCCUACGGCUCAACCGUAGAACUGCAUCCAAAACUAUUAGACUAGAGUGUGGGAGAGGAAGAUGGAAUUAGUUGUGUAGGGGUAAAAUCCGUAGAGAUAACUAGGAAUACCAAAAGCGAAGGCAAUCUUCUGGAACACUACUGACGCUGAGGUACGAAAGCGUGGGUAGCAAACAGGAUUAGAAACCCUAGUAGUCC
rnacentral:rRNA from 1 species